rnacentral:rRNA from 1 species
CCUACGGGAGGCAGCAGUGAGGAAUAUUGGUCAAUGGCCGGAAGGCUGAACCAGCCAUGCCGCGUGAAGGUCAGUGCCCUAUGGGCGUUAAACUUCUUUUGUGCGGGAGCAAUAAUGGUCACGUGUGGCCAGACGAGAGUACCGUACGAAUAAGCAUCGGCUAACUCCGUGCCAGCAGCCGCGGUAAUAAGGGGGAUGCAAGCGUUAUCCGGGUUUAUUGGGUUUAAAGGGUGCGUAGGCUGUGAGGUAAGGCAGCGGUGAAAUGCCUGCGCUCAACGGGGUGAAUUGCCAUUGAUACUGCCAUGCUGGAAUGCGGAUGCGGUGGGAGGAAUGUGUGGUGUAGCGGUGAAAUGCAUAGAUAUCACGAAGAACACCGAUUGCGAAGGCAUCUCACGAAUCCGCGAUUGACGCUGAUGCACGAAAGCGUGGGUAUCAAACAGGAUUAGAUACCCGUGUAGUC